AUCCAUUAAACGUUAAUUAAGAUGAUUAUGGACAAAUAAGAGAGAGCUUAGGGUUACAAACUUGCACGUUCUUCUUCCUCUCUCAAACGAACUCGCGGCGGCAACGAACUCCUCCUCAACGCCAUUCUGCCACUCACCGCUGUGAACAACCGCGACAAGAACACUACCUCACCCGUCACCUCGCUAAUCUCUCGCUCUCGUCUUCUCUCAACAAUCUUCUCUCACGUUCAUCUCUCGGUGCUUCCGAUCUCACUCAAUCAAACGUGAUUUUCUCAGUCUUCGAUUUGUUUUCAAGCUCUCCGAUUCGCUAAUGAAAUUUGUAAGAAUAUCAGGUUAUGGAGUGCGUCGAAGAUCGAUGUGCAAUGAAGUUGUUGAUGAACGGAUGAAGCGGUUAUGACAUUGCUUCAGGACUGCCUCGAUGAGAUGAUGAUUUAAUGAUGACGAUUCAGAGAUUCCGAGAGAGUGAGAGAGAAGAUGAAGGUGAUGUGAUGAGAUUUUUCUGUUGAAGUUUUCUGAAGAUUGGUGAAUCGGUGGUGAUAUUGAAGAUGUGUGGAUGAAGGUUUUGUUGAAGAUUGAAGAAGAAUCGAGUUAUGGCGGAGAAGUCUUGAAGGUGAUUCAAUUCAUGAAGAUUGCAACGGUGAUGAUUAUUGCUGUGAGAGAAGGUUGUUACGAUUGAAAAAACGAAGAGAGAUUGAAGAGGUUUGAAGAAGAUGAAUGAAUAUUCAGAGAUUGAGAUUUUUUGGUUGAGGAGUUUGUUCCGUUUUUUGUUAUUCUCGAUCUUUUUCUGUUAUGUGUUAUGCUGGUUUUUUGAUCCUUUCUUCAACAAUUCUUUUUUCGAACCGAUCUCCAGUUGUGGGUCCGGUUUAUUAUUUCUUAUUUGCAGGAUGGCUCAGAUUUGGAUUGCAGAAUGAAAACUGGAAACAGGAAUUGAAGAUUGGGUUAUGGGCUUUUUCAUUAUAAUGGGCUAUUUCCUUUGUAAUUCAAUUUUUUUUUUAAUGAAUAGCAUGGACUUUUGUAAUUUGAACAUGGUUUGUAAUGAACAAGGGCUUGGACUUUGAGAUUUUAUGAUGAACUUGAACAUUUGAAUUUGGAAUUUUAAA